rnacentral:rRNA from 1 species
UGGAUCCAGACUUUGAUUAUGGCUCAGGAUGAACGCUAGCGGCAGGCUUAACACAUGCAAGUCGAGGGGCAGCGCGGGAUAGCAAUAUCCUGGCGGCGACCGGCGGAAGGGUGCGUAACGCGUGAGCGACAUGCCCGUUGCCCGGGGACAACCGGUGGAAACGCCGACUAAUCCCCGAUGGGAUACGAUGCUGCAUGGCAUUGUAUUGAAAGUUACGGCGGCGACGGAUUGGCUCGCGUCCGAUUAGCUGGUUGGCGGGGUGACGGCCCACCAAGGCUACGAUCGGUAGGGGUUCUGAGAGGAAGGCCCCCCACAAUGGGACUGAGACACGGCCCAUACUCCUACGGGAGGCAGCAGUGAGGAAUAUUGGUCAAUGGGCGGAAGCCUGAACCAGCCAUGCCGCGUGCGGGAAGGAGGCCCUAUGGGCUGUGAACCGCUUUUGCCUGGGGGCAAUAAGGGCGUCGCGCACGUCCGAUGAGAGUACCAGGCGAAUAAGCAUCGGCUAACUCCGUGCCAGCAGCCGCGGUAAUACGGGGGAUGCGAGCGUUAUCCGGAUUCAUUGGGUUUAAAGGGUGCGUAGGCUGUGCGUCAAGUCGGGGGUGAAAUUCCGGUGCUCAACACCGGGGCUGCCCUUGAUACUGUCGCGCUGGAGUGCGGAUGCCGCCGGAGGAAUGAGUGGUGUAGCGGUGAAAUGCUUAGAUAUCACUCAGAACACCGAUUGCGAAGGCAUCUGGCGAAUCCGUAACUGACGCUGAGGCACGAAAGCGUGGGGAUAGAACAGGAUUAGAUACCCUGGUAUUCCACGCCGUAAACGAUGAUGGCUAACCGCCGGCGACACACUGUCGGUGGCCAAGCGAAAGCGAUAAGCCAUCCACCUGGGGAGUACGUCGGCAACGAUGCAACUCAAAGGAAUUGACGGA